AGGGCAGUAUCUUUGAAGAACUGCACCGAUAAGCUUGGUUUUUUACAAACAAAUAGUCUGCCUUGAUCCAGAGAGACUAGGACAGAGGG
rfam:Anaerobacillus alkalilacustris strain DSM 18345 Ga0137925_117, whole genome shotgun sequence.